rnacentral:lncRNA from 1 species
GCGUGAAAAGGAUUUUGGCAUCCCAAUUGCUAGUGUGAGGCAUCACAUCAGAGGCUCUAUUCCUCUCUUGCUUGCUGCCUUUAGAAGGUGUGAUGACUCGAGACUUCAUCCGUCUUUCGUGCGAGGUUUGGCAUGCAUUCGAAGUAGAGGGCCUGUAUUUUCAAGCCUCGUGAGUUAUCAGAUUCAAGCAACCUUUGAAGAUUUGAUCCCUAUUCUGCUACAACUAAGGUAAAUAUAAAUGUUAUAUUUUUAUUAGAAUAGAAAAAUUUUUAAAUCACACCCUGGUGAUCC